rnacentral:rRNA from 1 species
UACAGAGGGGGCAAGCGUUGUUCGGAAUUACUGGGCGUAAAGCGUACGUAGGCGGCUUUGUAAGUUAGAGGUGAAAGCCCGGGGCUCAACUCCGGAAUUGCCUUUAAGACUGCAUCGCUUGAAUCAUGGAGAGGUGAGUGGAAUUCCGAGUGUAGAGGUGAAAUUCGUAGAUAUUCGGAAGAACACCAGUGGCGAAGGCGACUCACUGGACAUGUAUUGACGCUGAGGUACGAAAGCGUGGGAGCAAACAGG